CCUACGGGGGGCAGCAGUGAGGAAUAUUGGUCAAUGGGCGCAAGCCUGAACCAGCCAAGCCGCGUGAAGGAAGACGGUCCUAUGGAUUGUAAACUUCUUUUGUCGGGGGGCAAAAUACGCCACGCGUGGCUUUCCGAGAGUACUCGAAGAAAAAGCAUCGGCUAACUCCGUGCCAGCAGCCGCGGUAAUACGGAGGAUGCGAGCGUUAUCCGGAUUUAUUGGGUUUAAAGGGUGCGUAGGCGGAAUGUAAAGUCAGCGGUAAAAUUGAGAGGCUCAACCCCGUCGAGCCGUUGAAACUGGCUGUCUUGAGAGGGUGAGAGGUAUGCGGAAUGCGCGGUGUAGCGGUGAAAUGCUUAGAUAUCGCGCAGAACUCCGAGUGCGAAGGCAGCAUACCGGCGGUGAACUGACGCUGAGGCACGAAAGUGUGGGUAUCGAACAGGAUUAGAUACCCCUGUAGUC
rnacentral:rRNA from 1 species